CCGCCUACGGGAGGCAGCAGGAGGGAAUCUUCCACAAUGGACGAAAGUCUGAUGGAGCAACGCCGCGUGAGUGAAGAAGGGUUUCGGCUCGUUAAGCUCUGGUGGUAGUGGAGGAAGAUAGCGGUAGUAACUGGCCUUUAUUUGACGGUAAUUACUUAGAAAGUAACGGCUAACUUCGUGCCAGCAGCCGCGGUAAUACGUAGGUGGCAAGCGUUGUCCGGAUUUAUUGGGCGUAAAGCGAGUGCAGGCGGUGU
rnacentral:rRNA from 1 species